AUUGAACGCUGGCGGCAGGCCUAACACAUGCAAGUCGAGCGGAUGAAGGGAGCUUGCUCCUGGAUUCAGCGGCGGACGGGUGAGUAAUGCCUUAGGAAUCUGCCUGGUAGUGGGGGAUAACGUCCGGAAACGGGCGCUAAUACCGCAUACGUCCUGAGGGAGAAAGUGGGGGAUCUUCGGACCUCACGCUAUCAGAUGAGCCUAGGUCGGAUUAGCUAGUUGGUGGGGUAAAGGCCUACCAAGGCGACGAUCCGUAACUGGUCUGAGAGGAUGAUCAGUCACACUGGAACUGAGACACGGUCCAGACUCCUACGGGAGGCAGCAGUGGGGAAUAUUGGACAAUGGGCGAAAGCCUGAUCCAGCCAUGCCGCGUGUGUGAAGAAGGUCUUCGGAUUGUAAAGCACUUUAAGUUGGGAGGAAGGGCAGUAAGUUAAUACCUUGCUG
rnacentral:rRNA from 1 species